AUACGUAGGUGGCAAGCGUUGUCCGGAAUUACUGGGCGUAAAGGGUGCGCAGGCGGACAUUUAAGUGAGAUGUGUAAGACCCGGGCUUAACUUGGGCAGUGCAUUUCAAACUGGAUGUCUGGAGUGCAGGAGAGGAGAACGGAAUUCCUAGUGUAGCGGUGAAAUGCGUAGAGAUUAGGAAGAACACCAGUGGCGAAGGCGGUUCUCUGGACUGUAACUGACGCUGAGGCACGAAAGCGUGGGUAGCAAACAGGAUUAGAUACCCUGGUAGUCCACGCCGUAAACGAUGAGUACUAGGUGUAGGAGGUAUCGACCCCUUCUGUGCCGCAGUAAACACAAUAAGUACUCCGCCUGGGAAGUACGAUCGCAAGAUUAAA
rnacentral:rRNA from 1 species